rnacentral:rRNA from 1 species
CCCUUAGAUGUUCUGGGCUGCACGCGCGCUACACUGAAGCUAUCAACACGUUUUCCCUCCCUGAGAAGGGCGGGUAACCUUUUGAAUCAGCUUCGUGGUAGGGAUCGGGGCUUGCAAUUGUUCCCCGUGAACCAGGAAUUCCUAGUAGACGCGAGUCAUAAGCUCGCAUCGAUUAAGUCCCUGCCCUUUGUACACACCGACCGUCGCUACUACCGAUUGAACGUUUUAGUGAGGCAUUUGGACCGACGCAUCUCAGUUUAACCGCUGGUUUGUGUUGGAAAGACUUCCAAACUUGAGCGUUUAGAGGAAGUAAAAGUCGUAACA